rfam:Clostridiales bacterium PH28_bin88 ph28_440, whole genome shotgun sequence.
GGGCGAUUAGCUCAGCUGGGAGAGCACUUGCCUUACAAGCAAGGGGUCGGCAGUUCGAGCCUGUCAUCGCCCA